rnacentral:rRNA from 1 species
AUUACAGAGUUAUCUAACUCCCAAACCCAUGUGAACUUACCACUGUUGCCUCGGCAGAUGUUGCUGGGCGAACCUACCCUGUAGCGAGCUACUCUGUAGCGACCUACCCGGGAACGGCUUACCCUGUAGCGCCUGCCGGUGGACUACUAAACUCUUGUUAUUUUUAAGUAAUCUGAGCGUCUUAUUUUAAUAAGUCAAAACUUUCAACAACGGAUCUCUUGGUUCUGGCAUCGAUGAAGAACGCAGCGAAAUGCGAUAAGUAAUGUGAAUUGCAGAAUUCAGUGAAUCAUCGAAUCUUUGAACGCACAUUGCGCCCAUUAGUAUUCUAGUGGGCAUGCCUGUUCGAGCGUCAUUUCAACCCUUAAGCCUAGCUUAGUAUUGGGAACUGGCUUUACUGCCAUUCCUCAAAUUCAACGGCGGAUUUAUAGCAAUCUCUGAACGUAGUAAUUUUUUUCUCGUUUUUGAAAUACUGUAAACCUCAGCCGCUAAACCCCCCAAUUUUUAAUGGUUGACCUCGGAUCAGGUAGGAAUACCCGCUGAACUUAAGCAUAUCAAUAAGCGGAGGAAAAGAAACCAACAGGGAUUGCCUUAGUAACGGCGAGUGAAGCGGCAAUAGCUCAAAUUUGAAAUCUGGCGCUUGCGUCCGAGUUGUAAUUUGCAGAGGAUGAUUUUGGUUAGGUACCUUCCGAGUUCCUUGGAACAGGACGCCUUAGAGGGUGAGAGCCCCGUACGGUUGGAUGCCGAGCCUUUGUAAUCUCCUUCGACGAGUCGAGUA